AGUGAACGCUGGCGGUAGGCCUAAUACAUGCAAGUCGAACGGCAGCACAGUAAGAGCUCUCCCCUACGGGUGGCGAGUGGCGGACGGGUGAGGAAUACAUCGGAAUCUACUUUUUCUUGGGGGACAUCGUGGGGAAACUGACGCUAAUACCGCAUAUGUUCUACGGGUGAAAUCAGGGGUUCUUCGCACCUUUCCCGUCUGAUUUAGCCGAUGUCGGAUUAGCUAGUUGGCGGGGUAAAGGCCCACCAAGGCAACGAUCCGUAGCUGGUCUGAGAGGAUGACCAGCCACACUGGAACUGAGACACGGUCCAGACUCCUACGGGAGGCAGCAGUGGGGAAUAUUGGACAAUGGGCGCAAGCCUGAUCCAGCCAUGCCGCGUGGGUGAAGAAGGCCUUCGGGUUGUAAAACCCUUUUGUUGGGAAAGAAGAGAAGCAGAUUAAUCCCCCGAUGUUCUGACGGUACCCAAAGAAUAAGCACCGGCUAACUUCGUG
rnacentral:rRNA from 1 species